rnacentral:tRNA from 2 species
GGACAGGUGUCAGAGUGGUCGAAUGAACCGGUCUUGAAAACCGGCGAGGGUGCAAGCUCUCCGUGGGUUCGAAUCCCACCCUGUCCGCCA